UAGGAUAUAGUUAUAAGGAAAAACAUCUCACUUACACCGAGAAAACAUUCAUGCAAAUUGAAUUAUCCUAA
rnacentral:tRNA from 1 species